rnacentral:rRNA from 1 species
UUAGUACCCGAAGGUCCUGUACUCACGCUGCCAAGAAAAGCCUCUAGCCAGGCGAAGGUGCCCGUACCGGAAACCGACACAGGUAGGCAAGAAGAGAAUUCUAAGGCGCGCGGAAGAACUCUCGUUAAGGAACUCGGCAACAUGACCCCGUAACUUCGGGAGAAGGGGUGCCCCGGUAGAGUGAAUAGCUCGAGGGGGCCGCAGUGAAAAGGCCCAAGCGACUGUUUAGCAAAAACACAGGUCUGUGCGAAGCCGCAAGGCGAAGUAUACGGGCUGACGCCUGCCCGGUGCUGGAAGGUUAAGGGGAGCGGUUAGGGG